GAUGAAGAACGUAGCGAAAUGCGAUACGUAAUGUGAAUUGCAGAAUUCAGUGAAUCAUCGAAUCUUUGAACGCAUAUUGCGCUCUCUGGUAUUCCGGAGAGCAUGCUUGUUUGAGUAUCAGUAAACACCUCAACUCUUUUUUCUUUUUUGAAAUUGGAGCUGGACUUGAGUGAUCCCAACGCUUUCUUCCAAGAAAGUGGCGGGUUGCUUGAAAUGCAGGUGCAGCUGAACUUGUCUCUGAGCUAUAAGCAUAUCUAUUUAGUCUGCCUAAAAAACAGAUUAUUACCUUUGCUGCAGCUAACAUAAAGGAGACUAGUUCUUGUGCUGACUGAUGCAGGAUUCACAGAGACAGCUUCGGCUGACUUUGUAAACUCGAUCUCAAAACAAGUAAGACUACCCGCUGAACUUAAGCAUAUCAAUAAGCGGAGGA
rnacentral:misc_RNA from 1 species